rnacentral:rRNA from 1 species
CCUGUCGGUGUAACUGGCAUGUCGCGGCAUGUCCUGUCGGUGGUGAACGGGAUCCCCGGUGCUGUUAAGACCUCCCGGUCGAAGCAUGUGCCGUGUGUGUUUCCGUUUGCCGAUCUCUCCUACUCCGGUGCUCUUAAACGAGUGUCGAGGUAGGCCGACACGUUCACUUUGAACAAAUUAGAGUGCUUAAAGCAGGCUGAAAUAUCUGCCUGAAUAGUGGUGCAUGGAAUGAUAAAACAGGACCUCGGUUCUAUUUUGUUGGUUUUAGGAAUAUGAGGUAAUGAUCAAUGUGGACUGGCGGGGGCAUUCGUAUUGCGACGUUAGAGGUGAAAUUCUUGGAUCGUCGCAAGACGCACUAGAGCGAAAGCAUUUGCCAAGUAUGUCUUAAUUGAUCAAGAACGAAAGUUAGAGGUUCGAAGGCGAUCAGAUACCGCCCUAGUUCUAACCAUAAACGAUGCCAGCCAGCGAU